ACGAACGCUGGCGGCGUGCUUAACCCAUGCCAGUCGAACGGAAAGGCCCCUUUGGGGGUACUCGAGUGGCGAACGGGUGAGUAACACGUGAGUAACCUGCCCUUGACUUCGGGAUAACUUCAGGAAACUGGGGCUAAUACCGGAUAGGAAUCCUUGCUGCAUGGUGGGGGUUGGAAAGCUUCGGCGGUUUUGGAUGGACUCGCGGCUUAUCAGCUUGUUGGUGGGGUAGUGGCUUACCAAGGCUUUGACGGGUAGCCGGCCUGAGAGGGCGACCGGCCACAUUGGGACUGAGAUACGGCCCAGACUCCUACGGGAGGAAGCAGUGGGGAAUAUUGCACAAUGGGCGGAAGCCUGAUGCAGCAACGCCGCGUGCGGGAUGACGGCCUUCGGGUUGGAAACCGCUUUCAGCAGGGGCGAAGCUUGUGGUGACGGUACCUGCAGAAGAAGCACCGGCUAACUACGUG
rnacentral:rRNA from 1 species